rnacentral:rRNA from 1 species
AUCGAUGAAGAACGCAGCGAAAUGCGAUAAGUAAUGUGAAUUGCAGAAUUCAGUGAAUCAUCGAAUCUUUGAACGCACCUUGCGCCCUUUGGUAUUCCGAAGGGCAUGCCUGUUUGAGUGUCAUUAAAUUAUCAACCUUGCUCGCUUUUACCGGCUUGAGUUAGGCUUGGAUGUGAGGGCUUUGCUGGCUUCCUUCAGUGGAUGGUCUGCUCCCUUGAAAUGCAUUAGUGGGAUCUCUUGUGGACCGUCACUUGGUUGUGAUAAUUAUCUACGCCUUUUGACUUUGAAGCAAACUUAUGGGAACCUGCUUAUAACCGUCCUUUCGAGGACAAUCUUUGACAUUUUGACCUCAAAUCAGGUAGGACUACCCGCUGAACUUAAGCAUAUCAAUAAGCGGAGGAAAAGAAACUAACAAGGAUUCCCCUAGUAACUGCGAGUGAAGCGGGAAAAGCUCAAAUUUAAAAUCUGGCGGUCCUUGUGGCCGUCCGAGUUGUAAUUUAGAGAAGCGUUAUCCGCGCUGGACCGUAUACAAGUCUCCUGGAAUGGAGCGUCAUAGAGGGUGAGAAUCCCGUCUUUGAUACGGACUGCCAGGGCAUUGUGAUGCGCUCUCAAAGAGUCGAGUUGUUUGGGAAUGCAGCUCAAAAUGGGUGGUAAAUUCCAUCUAAAGCUAAAUAUUGAGGAGAGACCGAUAGCGAACAAGUACCGUGAGGGAAAGAUGAAAAGAACUUUGGAAAGAGAGUUAAACAGUACGUGAAAUUGCUGAAAGGGAAACGCUUGAAGUCAGUCGCGUCGCUCAGGACUCAGCCUUGCUUUGCUUGGUGUACUUCCUGUUCGAUGGGUCAGCAUCAAUUUUGGUCGGUGGAAAAAGGCUUAGAGAAUGUGGCAUCUUCGGGUGUGUUAUAGCUCUGGGUCGCAUACAUCGGCUGGGAUUGAGGAACUCAGCACGCCGCAAGGCCGGGUACUUGUACCACGUACGUGCUUAGGAUGCUGGCAUUAAUGGCUUUAAUCGACCCGUCUUGAAACACGG